AGAUUAUAGGCAAUUAUUGAGUUUCGAGCUAUUGGGAAAUUUCCAUGGCUGUGCCCGUUGAGGAAGCCAUUGCAGCUCUUUCAACGUUUUCUCUAGAGGAUGACCAACCUGAGGUGCAAGGACUAGGAGUUCUACUAUCAGCUGACAGAUCUCACACGAACAGCCCAAUAGGUAUGCUUUCCCAUUGUCUACUUAAAAAU